AAGAGAACCAGAUCCUUGGAGAGUGAGAAGAGAGACACAAGGAGAACGCCCCCAUGAACCAGAAUCCACCGCCAGCAUAGAAGAAAAACUGCGCCAGCUUCAGGAGGAACGGAUGUGCAAAGUGUGCAUGGACAAAGACGUGUCCAUUGUGCUGGUUCCUUGUGGCCACUUAGUGGUGUGUGCCGAAUGUGCUCCUAAUCUGAGCCGCUGCCCCAUCUGCAGAGGGGACAUCCGGGACAGUAUGAAGGCCUUCCUGUCCUGACCUGAAAAGCUGCCCGUUUCCAAAAAAAAAAGACUCGCUUCUUUCCUCUGCAUCCUACAACGAACCCAACAAUUUUGCCAAACUUCUGGAUGUAGCUUCUUGGAGAUCUCCUCCUAACUCCGGUGAUUUCAAAAGACGGAAGAUAAAACCAUUUCGAGGUUUCUCUUGUUGAGAGACUGGCAGCUUCCUAUGGGGAGGAGAGGGGGGGGAGGAAUUAUUUAAAGCAUAUUUGCAAACGCUCGUCCCAAUUCUUAACUUGUAUGAGAUUUUAAAGCAGAUCAUUUUGAGUGAAAAGGAUAAUGUACAAUGUGUGCGUUUUGGACUUGCCUUGUUUUUUUUUUUAAUUUUAAAGAGAAUAAAAUAACUUUCUGGAAUCAUUUCUUAACUGUUUCUGUAAGAAUGUAUUGAUUUAGUACGGC